rnacentral:rRNA from 1 species
UACGUAGGGUGCAAGCGUUUGUCCGGAAUUAUUGGGCGUAAAGAGCUCGUAGGCGGCUUGUCACGUCGGUUGUGAAAGCCCGGGGCUUAACCCCGGGUCUGCAGUCGAUACAGGCAGGCUAGAGUUCGGUAGGGGAGAUCGGAAUUCCUGGUGUAGCGGUGAAAUGCGCAGAUAUCAGGAGGAACACCGGUGGCGAAGGCGGAUCUCUGGGCCGAUACUGACGCUGAGGAGCGAAAGCGUGGGGAGCGAACAGG